rnacentral:lncRNA from 1 species
AGAAAAGUCCGUGGUCGUCAUCUAAACUCCGCUAGAUGACUAAACCAAACAACAACGAGGCCUCUCAUCUGUUUAUUACACACCAACUAUCUACCCAUGUUCUACCCAACAUAUUAGUAGAUAAAAAUAUACAUUUUUAUACAUAGUUUCAAAACCUGUAUAGCAUGCUCGGUCAAUACAUUUUACACAUAACAGAUGAGGCGCACACACACACAUAACACGUAUUUCAUAGAGAAAAUAAUCAUCUCUAUAAGAUAGAAGAGAGUGAACACAGAUUCAUACAUAACACAACCAAAUAUAUACACAUAGCACGUAUUUAUUUAAAAUACUUCAUAUUAUUGUAUUUGGAAGAAAAUAACUACACACUCACUUGAUCAGAAGAUGAUCCGACAGCACUACGGCUUAUAGAAGCAGUGUCUCUCCGUAGAUCUGGAAGAUCUUCACAAAAAACCGGCUCCUCGCGGGCAGGGCUUCGGCUCGGGAAUAACGCUCUUCGGGAUUCUCGGGGCUUCGGAUCUCGCUUCGGGGCUCGGGAAUAAUACCGGGGCUUCGGGGUACAAUCGGCAUGCAAAACGAGGCAAAGGACUAGAGAGAAGGAAGAAAUUUUGAAUGAGAAAUGAGCUGCCUUCGGAUCCCCUUUUAUAGUGCUGGACCCUCGCACGUACGCGGGGCAUACGCCUCGGGGGUCGUUAGCGCUUACGUCAUCGGCCCUCAUACGUCAUUGCAUAAGACUUCGGAAUACUCGAGUGCCCUUCACUGUACGCGGGGCGUACAGCAGUACGCGGCGCAUACUUCGGAUAGAUCGCCUAACCCUUCUUCGGAUGAUAUCGGAGGAUAAAUAAAAAUAAAUAUUAAAUAUUUAUUAAACUUCAAAAAUUCAUAUCUCCUUCAUACGAACUCCGUUUUCGACGUUCUUUAUAUCCACGCGAAGGUGAGACUACGCUCUACAACUUUCGUUUAGACUCCGUCGGCUAAUUUUGACUUUUAUUUUUAUUAAUUAUUUUUAGAAGGCUCGGACAGGAAAACUUCGUUAUAAAAUCAUAACUUCUUCGUCCGACGUCCGUUCUCGCCUAUCUUUGCAUCGUUUCGCUACUAAUAACGAGAUCUUCGAUUCUCAUUUAGAUUGUUUCGGCUAAAAACCACUCGAUCUCAAAUCGAGUAUUCGGGUUGCAUACGGCCAUGUCGAAACUUUAGAAAAUCAUAACUUCCUCAUACGAAGUCAGAUUUGGGCGUUCCUUUUAUGCACGCUCUCGGUUUAACGAAAUCUACGACUUUUGUUUAGAUCACUAAGGCUAAAUAUCGCUCUAUCUUAAAUUCAUAUUUUACGUCACUCGACGUCGUGCCGGUUCUGUCGCGAAACUUCGACAAGUCAUAACUUCUUCGUUAUAACUCGGAUUUUGGCAUUUCUUAUAUCUCCAGAAUCCUUGUUUCAACCACUACAACUUUAUGCAAAGAUAUCGGGCAUAUCUAAUGCUUUAAUUUUGACGCUUAUUUUUAUUCUUAAUUAAUCAAACCACAUAAUUAAGCAAUUAAGCACAAAACACAUAAUACUCAAAUAACACAAUCUUAUUAUUUUCAAAACGGGUUACAAAGGUUAACCUAGACUAUUACAUUGCUAAAAAUGGCAAGCCCAGAAACACAGGCGUUACAAUUCUCUCCACCUUAGAAUGAUUCCGUCCCCGGAAUCACACAUCAACAAACAAAUGCGGAUAGCGACUCAUCAUGUCACUCUCCGUCUCCCAGGUGAGAUUCGGCCCAUUCGUGUGUUUCCAUCGGACAAGCACUAACCCAACCAUUUUGCGUCGCAACUUCUUAGUCUUUCGGUCAACAAUUGCCUCUGGUUCUUCAAUCAACCUUUUGUUCUCAUCAAUUCUCAAUUCAGAAAUUGGAAUUAUAUCGGGAACUUCUCCCGUGAACUUCCUCAAAUAACACACAUGAAAAGUGUUGUGAAUUCCAUUCAGUUCUUCGGGUAAUUCGAGCUUGUAAGCUUGGUUCCCAAUCCUCUGAAGAACUUUAAACGGUCCAAUAAACCUUGGACUCAACUUUCCCCUUUUACCAAAUCUUAUAAGUCCCUUCCACGGCGAGACUUUAAGCAAAACCGAAUCUCCAACCUCAAAAGUCAUCGGUCUUCGCUUUUUGUCAGCAUAGCUCUUUUGACGAUCUUGAGCUGCUAACAUUCUUUCUCUAAUUAUUUUCAACUUUUCAGCAGUUUGAUGAACCAUCUCCGGUCCCAUAAACUGCUUUUCCCCAGCCUCAAGCCAACAAGACGGCGUACGACACUUCUGUCCAUACAAAGCUUGAUAAGGUGCCAUCUUAAUGCUCGAGUGAAAACUAUUAUUAUAGGAAAAUUCUACCAACGGUAAAUGUUCAUCCCAAUUACCUAGGAAUUCCAAGGUACAUGCUCUCAGCAUAUCUUCAAGUGUUUGUAUUGUUCUUUCACUCUGACCAUCAGUCUGCGGAUGGUAAGCUGUGCUUAAACAUAACUUGGUACCCAUUUCCUCUUGUAGACUUUUCCAAAACCUUGAGGUGAAACGGCUAUCACGAUCCGAUACAAUCGUUAACGGAACACCGUGAAGCCUCACAAUUUCCUUCACGUAAGAAUUCGCAAGCUUUUCCAUAGACCAUUUCUCCCUGGCCGCUAUGAAAUGCGCACUCUUAGUGAAUCGAUCAACGACCACCCAAAUCAUGUCGUGACCAUUCUUUGUUCUGGGCAGUUUAGUGACAAAAUCCAUAGCAAUGUCUUCCCACUUACCCAUAGGCACAGGCAAUGGUUCUAAACUCCCGUACGGUUUCUGAUGUUGUGUCUUGACUCUCGCACAAGUCACACACUCGGCCACAUACUUUGCAACAUCAAGCUUCAUCGUCGGCCACCAGUAGUAGGGUUUCAGGUCCCUAUACAUUUUAGUGCUACCCGGAUGAAUCGAGUACAUGGUCUUGUGAGCUUCUUCCAUCAGAAGAUCCCUAAUUCCUCCUGACUUAGGUACCCAAAUACGAUCUUGGAAUACCUUCAGUCCAUGACCGUUAGUACCAAACACCAACGUUUUACCCAAACGUUCCUCCUUUCGGUCAUUUUUCUCAGAAGCUUCCUCUUGAGCUUUCUUUAUACUUUCCACAAUGGUCGAGACAACUUCAAUUCUCAACGCUCUUGGCCUCUUCCUUUCAAGAUUGACCUUCCGACUGAGAGCAUCAGCAACAACAUUAGCUUUACCGGGGUGGUAAAGUAUCUCGCAGUCGUAGUCUUUAAGUAAUUCUAGCCAGCGUCGUUGCCUCAUAUUCAAUUCUUUCUGAUUAAAGAGGUAUUGGAGACUCUUAUGAUCAGUGAAAAGUUUGCACUUCGUGCCAUAGAGGUAAUGCCUCCAUAUUUUCAGAGCGAAAACUACCGCUGCCAACUCCAAAUCAUGAGUCGGGUAAUUCUUUUCAUGCUCUUUCAGCUGUCGAGACGCAUAUGCUAUCACCUUUUCUCUUUGGGUCAAAACACAACCCAAUCCAACACCAGACGCAUCGCUAUAAACAGCGAAGUCUUCAACUCCAUCGGGUAGAGAAAGUAUCGGUGCCUCGCAUAGCUUCUUCUUUAACUUCUCGAAUGCUUCUUUAUGCUUCUCACUCCAAGCAUAAGUAGCUCCUUUGUGGGUCAAAGCUGUUAAUGGAGUAGCAAUCGAAGAAAAGCCUUGGAUAAACCUUCGGUAAUAUCCGGCUAAUCCUAAAAAGCUUCGAAUCUCCGUGGGACUUUUCGGUUGUUCCCACUUCGUCACAGCUUCGAUCUUCGCUGGAUCAACCAUUAUCCCUUCUUGGUUGACCACGUGACCCAAGAAUUGGACUUCACGAAUCCAAAAAUCACAUUUGGAGAACUUCGCAUAAAGCUUCUCCUUCUUCAAAACUUCUAACACUUCUCGCAAGUGUCUGCCAUGCUCCUCCUGGCUUUUCGAGUAGAUCAGAAUGUCGUCUAUGAACACUAUCACGGAUUUAUCAAGGAAAGGAUUACAAACCCUAUUCAUCAAAUCCAUGAACGCUGCUGGAGCAUUGGUUAGUCCAAACGACAUAACCAAGAACUCGUAGUGUCCAUAUCUAGUUCUGAAUGCAGUCUUCUCGAUAUCUUGCUCUCUUACUUUCAGCUGAUGAUAUCCUGACCUAAGAUCGAUCUUCGAGAAAUAGCUCGAACCUUGCAAUUGAUCAAACAGGUCAUCAAUCCUCGGCAACGGAUAUCUAUUCUUUAUUGUUGCCUUGUUCAGCUCUCUGUAAUCGAUGCACAUUCUCAUACUUCCAUCUUUCUUCUUUACAAAUAACACCGGAGCUCCCCAGGGCGAUGAACUAGGUCUAAUGAAACCUUUGUCCAAUAACUCCUGAAGUUGCAUCAUUAGCUCCUUCAUCUCCGUCGGUGCUAAUCGAUAAGGUGCUUUUGCUAUUGGCGUGGUUCCUGGUAACAAGUCUAUUCUGAACUCCACUUGUCUAUCAGGUGGUAAUCCAGGAAGAUCCUCGGGAAAUACUUCCGGAUAAUCACACACCACUGGAAUGCUCUGCAUCACCUUCUUUUCUUUCUUAGCAUCAAUCACGAAUGCUAAAUAUGAUGUACAUCCCUUGGUCAAACACUUUCUGGCUUUCAUUAGAGAAAUGAUUCCAGAAUUCACUCUGCGUUUGUCCCCAUACACCAUAAACGAAUCUUUUCCAGGCGGGUUUACUUUAACUAUCUUCUUCUUGCACAAAAUUUCGGCAUCAUUGGCGCUAAGCCAAUCCAUUCCCAAGACGAUGUCGAAACCAUUUAGUUCGAUAGGCAAUAAUUCCUCGAGAAACUUAUUCCCAUUAAGGUCGAUCAAGACGUUUUUCAUACGAUGGCUAACAGGUACAAACUUGCCACUAGCUACUUCGACUAAUAAAGCAUUAUUUAGUCUAUCAACAGGCAAAGCUAGCUUUCUACCAAACUCAUGCGAAAUAAAGGAGUAGUUGGCUCCAGAAUCAAACAAUAUAUGAGCAGGUAAUUCGUUUACGAGAAAGGUACCUGAAGCGACAUCAGCUUCAUCUUUCGCAGCCUCAAGUGUCAUCUGGAAGGCUCUCGCCUUCGGCUUUGGUGGAAUGUUGGGCCUAGCUGCCUCCUUCUUCUUCGGACAGUCUUUCAAAAUAUGCCCCUCUUCAUUACAACCAAAACACAUCCUUUUGUUGUUCGGACAUUCAUUGGCAAAAUGUCCAACCUUUCCACACUUGUAGCAGGUCACAUCCUCGCUACAUUUCCCAAAGUGCUUUUUCUUACACUUAUCACACCACUUUGCUUCGCCUCCUUUUCCUCCAAACUUUUUCGAAUCAGAUUUCGAAAAUUUGCUCUUCUUACUGGAACCAGAUGUUCCUUCAAACUUCCUUUUCUCACCAACCUCAACCUUGACGGUGGUUCUCCCCUUGAUCAUGUUCUCCACAGACUUGGCAGCCCAGAUAGCUGCCUCUAGAGUAAGUGCCUGACGUACCGGCACCUCGUACUCCCAUGGAAGUCCCUUCGCAUACCGAUCCACCUUUGUCAGCUCGUCUGGAACGAUACGCAAGGCAAACUCCAUCUUAUCGGUGAAGUUAUUGGUGUAUUCAUCAACUGACAUGCUACCCUUCGUCAAUGUCAAAAACUUAUUCUCCAACUCCAACAGAUUUUGAGCCGAGCAGAACUUGCGCUUGAACUGCACCAAGAACUCUGCCCAUGACAAUUGCAGUGGCUCAUUAGGGCUUAAGGUCUUCCCUAGAGUGUUCCACCAACGAACGGCUCCACCUCGGAAUUGUCGCACGGCAUAGAUAGUCUGCAACUUACCUCUGCAGCCACAUGUCAUAAAGGCUAACUCCAUUUCGGAGAUCCAAUCCAUAACCCCAAUCGGAUCCUCCUUUCCAUUGAAGGUCGAUGGUUUGCAAGUCAAAAAGUCCUUGUACUUGCAUCCCAUUCCAUCAUUCCUUCCUUCAUGGUUAUCUUGCCUAACUAUCGGUGGGUUGGCUGGACCAACAGACCCACUGAAGUUUCCACCUUCCGAGUGCCCUUCAUUUAAUUCAGGCUCUUCCACACGAAUCGACAGUUCUUCACGAUUUUGUUGAAGCAACCGUCUAGUUUCAUCCAUCUGACGAUCCAACAUCGUCUGAAUCAUCAAUUGCACACCAGCCAUGGUUAUUGGCUCAGGUGCUGCUGCUACGACAGGUAUUGGCUCAAUCACUGGUGGUUGAUUCCUGUUUUCGUCAGCAUUUCCAACUCCACUUCUUGUUCUCACCAUUUUGAUCUACACCCCGAAUAAGGUGAAAUUAGAUCCUCAAUCAUGAUAGAUAUUCAAAUCAUCCUUAUCACUCCGAAACGUUUACAUGCUAGUUCUAAUAUCGUAGACGUACGCUUAGAAUCCUACACACAUAAGGUUUCUAGAUCCGGUCGGCAACAGACCAUAGAUCCGAACAAAUAAUAUCAUAUAUGGCAACAUAUAACAUUUAGCACAUAAAGCAUUUUAGGCAACUUUCCUAAAAUAAACUAGUGCUCGUGUCUAAAACACAACAGACACACAUCUCAAAACUUCACUUAGCAUUCUAAGUUUAAGUCUAGAAAUCCUACAAAUUCCUAGUUCGCUUAAACUAAUGCUCUGAUACCAACUGUGACAUCCCCAAAAUCUCGGCCAGAAAAGACCGAUUUUCAUUUAUGCUUUUAAAUAUUUUCAGAGUAAAUCCUUUUGAUUUGAAAGAGUUGCGGAAUUUGUUCCCAAAAACAAAACAUGAUAAAACAUUGUUUACCGAAGCAUUUCAUAAAAGAAAUGUAUUUUCAUUAUAAUCAAAACUCGGGGUGUCAUGUUCCGAUACAGACCAAUAAGCAUAAACGAAUACAUUACAAGUCAUAUAACAAAUAUAAACAUAUGCAGACUUGUAAACAAAACAACUUGAUGGUUCAUCCAUCUCAUGCCCUUCCGCCACUACCUGUAAUACAAUUUAAAACUGAGUGGGUCAGGCUUGGGAGCCUGGUGAGCAUAUAGGGUUUUCAACCCACAAUAAAUAUCAUAUUUAAUUUUCACCAACCAACAAUAACCCAAUUACCCAUUCCCGUUAUUCUCACUUUAAUGUCCCUAAAACAACUAACAUAAGGGACCUAGUCUAAGAAUAUUUCAUCGGGGCGACAACACAUGCUUCGGGGGUACCUCAGCAAUAUAAGUCAAAUAAGGCAACCAUGAGGGGGAUGGAGUACAGCGAAUGAACACCCAAGUUCAUUAACACCUACAGGUGGCGAACCUGCUAAUGUUUCCACAAGACUGUCUAGAAUAGCCAGUGGUCGUCAUCUAAACUCCGCUAGAUGACUAAAUCAAACAACAACGAGGCCUCUCAUCUGUUUAUUACACACCAACUAUCUACCCAUGUUCUACCCAACAUAUUAGUAGAAAAAAAAUACAUUUUUAUACAUAGUUUCAAAACCUGUAUAGCAUGCUCGAUCAAUACAUUUUCCACAUAACAGAUGAGGCACACACACACAUAACACGUAUUUCAUAGAGAAAAUAAUCAUAUCUAUAAG